GAUGAACGCUGGCGGCGUGCCUAAUACAUGCAAGUCGAGCGAACAGACGAGGAGCUUGCUCCUCUGACGUUAGCGGCGGACGGGUGAGUCACACGUGGAUAACCUACCUAUAAGACUGGGAUAACUUCGGGAAACCGGAGCUAAUACCGGAUAAUAUAUUGAACCGCAUGGUUCCAUAGUGAAAGACGGUUUUGCUGUCACUUAUAGAUUGAUCCGCGCCGCAUUAGCUAGUUGGUAAGGUAACGGCUUACCAAGGCAACGAUGCGUAGCCGACCUGAGAGGGUGAUCGGCCACACUGGAACGGAGACACGGUCCAGACUCCUACGGGAGGCAGCAGUAGGGAAUCUUCCGCAAUGGGCGAAAGCCUGACGGAGCAACGCCGCGUGAGUGAUGAAGGUCUUCGGAUCGUAAAACUCUGUUAUUAGGGAAGAACAAAUGUGUAAGUAACUAUGCACGUCUUGACGGUACCUAAUCAGAAAGCCACGGCUAACUACGUG
rnacentral:rRNA from 1 species